rnacentral:lncRNA from 1 species
AGCACGGCGGAAAGGAACCUCCUGGCGGACGCCUCCAAGAUCAUGGAGAAGAGCAGCAACAGAGCGUGCUGCGGUGGGAGAGCAACCCGAGGCGGCGGCGACUGCAGGAAGAUCGUCGCCGAUGGGCUCGCAGCCCUCGGACACGACGCCUCUAUCUGCCUCUCCCGCUGGGACAAGUCCCCCUCCUUCCCCGCAGGUGAGUUUUCAUCUCGUCCUCCUCCAUCUCUAGAUCUGCUUCUUCCUUCCUUCCAUCCAUCCAUCCAUCCAUCCAUCCAUCCAUCUAUCCAUCCGAGCUCGAGCUCGAUCUCAGAGGAGUCUCUUCCGAUCCGCAGGGGAGUACGAGUAUCUGGACGUGAUCGUCGACGGCGGCGGGGAGAGGCUCAUCGUCGACCUGGACUUCCGAUCUGAGUUCGAGAUCGCCCGCUCCACCAAGUCCUACCGCGCCGCGCUGCAGGCGCUGCCGAUGAUCUUCGUGGGGCGGGAAGAUCGCCUGGCCGAGAUCAUCACCGUCAUGUCGGAGGCCGCUCGCCAGAGCUUGAAGAAGAAGGGCCUCCACGUCCCUCCAUGGAGGAAGCCCGAGUACAUGCGGGCCAAGUGGCUCUCCCCCUCCCAUCGCCUCUACCCUCCUCCUCCUCCCCCGCCGCCGCCGCCGUCAGUCCAGACCAGCGGCGGCGGCGACGACGACUCCGGCGACGGCAGCGGCGGCGAUCAGUCCGUCCAGCCCACCUCCCCUACCUUCCCCGGCGAGCUCGAGCUGCGAUGCGAGGAAUCCGGCCAGCCCGUCGCGUCCCCGCCGCCGUCUCCGGCGGAGACCGAGGCGGCGGCGCUCCCCCCGCCAUCUCCGGUCAGGCGUCUGGCGGCGAUCAACCCCAAGCU